CCCACUCCCCAGUCCGUCUCCGUCCACAUGAGUGAGAGUGAGAGUGAGAGCGAGGGCGCCGAAUUGUCCCGCCGCCUUGCCGGCGUCUCGCUGGCGGCGCCGGCCUCCCCGCUUGAAGACGAUGAUCUCCUCCGCGAGAUCCUCCUCCGCCUCCCGCCUCAGCCGUCCUCCCUACCCCGAGCCUCCGCCGUGUGUAAGGGUUGGAGGGGCCUCGUCACCGACCCCAAGUUCGCCCGCAGCUUCUCUGCCCACCACCGGAAGCCGCCCCUCCUCGGCUUCUUCGAGAUCCGCGCCGCUGGCCUCGUCUUCACCCCCGUCAUGGACUCCCCCGACCGGAUCCCUCCCGAGCGCUUCGACCUCGGACGCUGCAGCGGGAUCAAGGUUAACGAUGCGUAUAGCUGUCGCCACGGUCGCGUUAUCUUCAUAGACUGGCAGCGGUUCGAGUUGCUCGUCUGUGCCCCUAUCACCGGCGAGCUGAGCCGCGUGGCCAUUCCCCCGGAGGUCGAACGCGGUUCGCUCAACGUGGCGGUGCUCUGCGCUGCAGGCGACCAGGGCCACGUCCACGGCGGCUGCCACUCGAGCCCCUUCAAGAUUGUUUCGCUGUGCUUGGGCAGAAAGGACAGUCAACUCCUGGCACGUGUUUACUCCUCGCAGACUGGCAUAUGGGGCGAUCUCAUCUCAGCAGCUGCUCCAUCUCGGCUCUUUUCCGAUCUCACGCCCGAGACUCUCGUAUGUAAUUCUCUGUAUUGGUUGUCCACCGGAGUUGACGUAGUUAAAUUCGAUUUGGACGACUAUAGUCUAACUGUGAUCAAAGGGCCUCCUGUUACAUAUGACCAUGGCCGUCAGAUCAUCAAGGCUGAGGAUGGCGAUGUUGGCUUCAACAUAUUCUUGUACCCAGAGUGCCAUAUGUGGCGGAGGGACAUCAAUUGUGAUCAUGGGGUUCACACAUGGGUGCUCUGGAAGACCAUUCAAAUGCAUACUAUUCUCGGCCUCCCUCAGGUCGACGAAAAAAGGACAAACUUCCUACUAGGAUAUUGCGAGGAUACCAAUGUAAUUUUCAUGUACGUGAGACCUAAUGUAUACAUGCUUCAACUUAAUUCGAUGCAAUCCAAGAGACUUAAUGCAAAUCUGGAGUCUGUCGGUCACUAUCGUCCUUUCACAAGUUUCUACACACCAGACACAACCAUUGCUGGUGGAUCUAAUGGAGCUGAAAUUUCGCACAAUACAUAGCAGGACUUUCUGGUUUGAAGUGCCAAUGUGCUGGGUUUAACAGGUGAAAGAAUGGCUGCUGCAGUUCUCACUAAUCAGAAUAUGUUUCGUGAAGGAAUGGCUGCUGCAGUUCUUCUCACUAAGUUUGUUGCAUCGCGCCACUGUGGUCGGCAAUGUUUAUAUGUUACCUGGAAAACAUAUCGUGCCUUAGUCUAGCCAAGCUUCUAAUGUAGUAAUAUGCUUUUGAAUACCUAAUUGUGGGAAUUUUAGCUUCCCCAACUAUCAUGUCAAGUCGGAUCUCAUUGUAUUUUGUUUUGGCAGCACUUCUCUUUAGCCAUAAGAGUUUCAGUCCCAGAAAAGAUCCCGCUCAACCCUCUGAUGCUUCCAUCCUAUCUGUACAAUCUUUCUGAACAAAAGAGGAAGAAUAGGAUAAUUGGCUAGUGAAAGCAACCUGUAGAUCAAGUGCUACAAACUGCAACAAAAAUGCAUCACGCAAAUUUUCAUCUA